GUAGUGGCCCCAAUAGCUUCCGCCAAAAGCCAUCUUCCUUUUGGCGCUUUCAGCGGGGCACCGGCAAAAUGGCGUUCGUUGACAGCGAGCUUUACCAAAUACCGUCUUUUCCCGAACCCCAAACCCUUGUUCCCAAUUCUCUCUCUCUCUCUCUCUCCCUCUCUCUCUCUCUCUCUCUCUCAAUGGAUUCGUCUGCUCCCAGAACGAAUUCCUUUUUCCGCGAAUUCUACUGCCGCAUCUGCCGCCGUUGUCGUUGCUACUGUUGCUGCUACUGCUGUUCUUCUCUCCCCUAAAAUCCCUCUCCUCUCCUCUUCCGCUUCUAUUUCCCAAACUACCCUCCUUAUUCUCUCACCCUCUUCCUCUCUCCCCUUUUCCUUCCUCCCUUCCUCCUAUCCUCUCCCUCCAAUUCAACCCCAUCGUCUGAUCGAUCCCACUCCAAUCAACUCCAGCAUGCCCCCCCAAAACUCUCCCUCAUCCGUUCGAUUCGACGCUUGCUGGAUGAUGGACAAUUCAGCAUCCUCCUCUAUCCUAUGCCUCUGAAACACCAUAGAAGUCUCCAAUCUGCCCACCUUUGAAACAUAGCAGGCUGCUGUCAGGUCCUGGGCCCCAGCAUGCAUGAGAGAUCGUGAAGAGCGAUAGUCAGCUCUAAGGGGUUGUAGAGCUUGUUGCUUCUGGGAACCACAUGUGCCGGGCUGUCCUCGAAGUGCUCCGUGGUUACCUCAUGAACAAGUACUCCGAGGGCGUGUGUGGCAGAAGAUUCCACGGCAGGGGUUAGUAUAUUGAUCAGAUUGAGUUGCUCUGCUGCGAGUGGGUCCUCGCAGCAUUCUGCCUUGAUCCAGAUAGGUGGGGCGCCAAUGUCUAGCUGUAUUCAAGAACUACCGUGAUUUUUGCAAUCUACAUGGGCCUACUUCUUCGAUUGGAUCAUGCAAUUGGAUCCACUGUCAGGUGGGAACUUGAGUCACAUGAACUAUAUGUCGAGUAGCAAGAAGGUUUCGGAGGCAGUGAUUUUCUUCGUGAGUCUUCCAUAUAAGGUGAUCCCACAUGCGGGGUAGAUCAAUUACAAAAGGCUUGAGGAGCAAGCGCUGGAUUACCAACCCAUGAUACUGAUACACGGCAGGAGCUCAUGCCCCAGGGAGUGCUGAUAUCUGUGGCUCAGGCAGGUUGUGGAUAAGUGCCGGGCAGUUUGGCUAUUUGAUAUGGCUCAUAUUAGCAGUCUUAUCACUGAAAAGGGCCCAAGUUACAUAGGUUGGGAGGGAGUUGAUCAUGUGGUGAUGGUUCUGAAAUCAUCUGGUGCUUCUGCCAAGACAUCAAGGGGCUGUUUAGCGGGCAAUUUUGAGACCAUUGCUAAGCUUCUUUUGAGUAGUGCAGAUUGCAAUGCAGAGAGAGCAUGGGAAUUCGCAGAAGGAUCUCCUCUAGGGUCUGCUGAACAACAAGGAUAUUGUUGAGCUUAGGAUCCAUGCCGAGCGCUUUGCAGUCCAGUUUGCUAUGCCAGCAUUUGAAACUUGAACAUUUUAAAGGCUGCUUACAAGCUUUCAUACUAGUUUUUUAUCUACCAUGCAUGUGGUAACAGAUCCAAAUUCCUUUCUCUGCAUGUCUUAUACAUCUUUCAUCCUUGUAAAAUUCCAGAUGUUCAUUUUUCCUAUUUCGCAUGGAACUAUUCAAAGUGCAAUGUAUGCAUGGCAACAGAGACAAGAUCUGGUUCCUUUUAACUUUGGCUAAUAGCCUCCUAUACUUGUGUAAAUUAUAAAAGAUCAUAAUUUUGUAUUAGAU